AGGCGGAAUAAUAAGUCAGUGGUGAAAGCCUGCGGCUUAACCGUAGAAAUGCCAUUGAUACUGUUAUUCUUGAGUAUAGUUGAGGUGGGCGGAAUGUGUAAUGUAGCGGUGAAAUGCUUAGAUAUUACACAGAACACCAAUUGCGAAGGCAGCUCACUAAGCUGUUACUGACGCUGAGGCACGAAAGCGUGGGGAGCAAACAGGAUUAGAUACCCUGGUAGUCCACGCCGUAAACGAUGAUCACUCGUUGUUGGCGAUACACCGUCAGCGACUGAGCGAAAGCAAUAAGUGAUCCACCUGGGGAGUACGGCGGCAACGCUGAAACUCAAAGGAAUUGACGGGGGCCCGCACAAGCGGAGGAACAUGUGGUUUAAUUCGAUGAUACGCGAGGAACCUUACCUGGGCUUGAAAGGGGAUUGACCUCCCGGGAAACCGGGAUUCUCUUCGGAGCAAUCUCCUAGGUGCUGCAUGGUUGUCGUCAGCUCGUGCCGUGAGGUGUCGGGUUAAGUCCCAUAACGAGCGCAACCCCUAUUGUUAGUUGCCAGCGGGUAAUGCCGGGAACUCUAACGAAACUGCCGGUGUAAACCGAGAGGAAGGUGGGGAUGACGUCAAAUCAGCACGGCCCUUAUGUCCAGGGCUACACACGUGUUACAAUGGCCGGUACAAAGGGCAGCUACUUGGUGACAAGAUGCUAAUCUCGAAAACCGGUCUCAGUUCGGAUCGAAGUCUGCAACUCGACUUCGUGAAGCUGGAUUCGCUAGUAAUCGCGCAUCAGCAACGGCGCGGUGAAUACGUUCCCGGGCCUUGUACACACCGCCCGUCAAGCCAUGGAAGCUGGGAGUACCUGAAGUCUGUAACCGCAAGGAGCGGCCUAGGGUAAAACCAGUGACUGGGGCUAAGUCGUAACAAGGUAACC
rnacentral:rRNA from 1 species